UACAGAGGUCCCAAGCGUUGUUCGGAUUCAUUGGGCGGAAAGGGUGCGUAGGCGGUGCCGUAAGUCGGGUGUGAAAUCCCGGGGCUCAACCCCGGAACUGCACUCGAUACUGCGGUGCUUGAGGACUGGAGAGGAGACUGGAAUUCACGGUGUAGCAGUGAAAUGCGUAGAUAUCGUGAGGAAGGCCAGUGGCGAAGGCGGGUCUCUGGACAGUUCCUGACGCUGAGGCACGAAGGCCAGGGGAGUAAACGGG
rnacentral:rRNA from 1 species